rnacentral:rRNA from 1 species
GACGAACGCUGGCGGCGUGCUUAAUACAUGCAAGUCGAACGGAAAGGCCCUGAGUUUGUGGGGUGCUCGAGUGGCGAACGGGUGAGUAACACGUGAGUAACAUGCCCCUGACUUUGGGAUAAAACCAGGAAACUGGGGCUAAAACCGGGUAGGAGCUCCUGAUGCAUGGUGGGGGAUGGAAAGUUUCGGCGGUUGGGGAUGGAAUAGCGGCUUAUCGGCUUGUUGGUGGGGUAGUGGCUUACCAAGGCUUUGACGGGUAGGCCGCCUGGGAGCGUGACCGGCCACAUGGGGACUGAGAUACGGCCCAGACUGCUACGGGAGGCAGCGGUGGAGAAUAUUGCGCAAUGGGCGGAAGCCUGAUGCAGCAACGCCGCGUGCGGGAUGACGGCCUUCGGGUUGUAAACCACUUUCGCCUGUGACGAAGCGUGAGUGACGGUAAUGAGUAAGGAAGCACCGGCUAACUACGUG